GGCGGGCGGGGGUACGGGGUCAGGAACCAGACCUCUCCCCGCCGGCUGUGCGCCACCGCCCACCAUCCACAUAUCCGCCCUCCGGCCUGGUGGCCCUGUCCCCUCCGGCUGUGCGGCCCCCCAUCCCCCCCGCAUCCACAUGUCCCCCUACAGCCCGGCGACCUCGCCCACUUAGCAGCUCCGAACAGAGACCCCCCCACCCACCUCGCCCACCAGAUCGUGCCGUGGGCCCCGCGAGCGACCGCUGGCCCAGCUGAGCCCAAUCGGCCACCUCUCCUCGGACCUGUCCAGCUGCCGCGCUCUUCCGCCGCCAGUGGCUCCGCCCAUCGGCCUCGGCCGUGACGCUCGGGGCGGGGCUUGCGUCGGGCACCGUCCCCUUGGCUUACCCCGGGCGGGGGCGGGGCUGGGGGCGGGGCCUUGUGCCGCCCAGCUGAGCUCCUGCCCCCGCAUCUGCAGCCUACCUGGCACCCCGCCGCUCGCGCCGAUCCUGGGGCGGGACCGCGGGCCGGCGCUCGGCGGACGCCCGCGGAAACGUGCGUCCCAGCUGCCCCUCCCUUUGAGCUAGGCCCUGGCAGCGCCAGCCGGGGAAGCAGGUGCUCCUCGCGCGCCCCGGGCCGGGCCCAGAGCUCCCCGUGCGCACGGGGGGGGGGGGGGGCGCGCUUCGGCGUGGUUAUGCGGCAAGCAGCCUCAGAAAAACACUGUAACCAAGCUGGGGAUCUGCUUGAGACGCUUUGCGGACCACCGCUCAGCACAGAGGCAUUUCACUUACCCUGGACUGAACCCUGCCCUAGGGCCACACCCACCCCGAGGAGCCAGUUAACUUCUGGUCAUCUCUCCUGCUUGUCCGCAGAAGGCUGGAGCUUAACCGCUCUUUUCCGUUCGCCACUGAGUGCAUCGGGUCUUCGGACGGGAGGCCUCUGGGAUUGCGUUCAUCCGUGGCCACGCCCCCAGCCCUGCGAUGACUGUUAACAGCCUCGGUGCAGAGUCUGGCAGAGCGUGCAGGACUGGGUCUCCGACUCCAGGGAGAUAGGGUUCUGACGCCGCUGUGUGGGACUCGGGGCAACCCCUCCCAACUGCUUGCUACUCUAGGGCACGCGUGGCUCUCCUCUGUGGGUCACCGGAGCCCAGGCAGGUCUUCGCACCUGUUUCCACCCAUAGGAUGGAAGUGAUAUUGUUUGGCUUCCCAGGUUAACUCCUUAAAACGCCUUGUUGUCUUGAGCUGUUUGCUCUUGGAAUCCAGCCAUCAUAUUGUGGGAGAGCUGGCAGCACAUGGAGAGACCUUGCACUGGGCUGAAUAAUGUUCCCCAGAUCCGCACCCCCUAGAACCUGGGAAUGGGCACUUGUUUGGAAACAGAUUCUUUGCGGAUAUAAUCAAGUUAGGGUGAAGUCAUGCUGAACUAGGACGGGCCCUAAAUCCCAAACAACUGAUGCUGUUAUAAGAAGACAGGAGUCCAGACACAGCCUGUGGGGAGAAGGCCUGUGGCGAUGGAGGCGGAGGCUGGGGCUCUGCCUACAGCUACCAGCCCAGGACUGCAGGAGCCAGGAAGCUGAACGGGGCAAGCGAGGGUUCUGCUCUAGGACUCUGAGGGAGUAUGGUUCCACCAGCAUCUUGAAUUCAGAUUCUGGCCUGCAGAACUCGAAUAAAUUUCUGGUUUUUCACAGCACUCAGUUUAUGGCUGCAAGAGGAAACGAAAGCAGGUCUCACCUGAUUCUGAGACUGGAGCUGUGAGUCCUGAUCGAGGUCCUAGCUCUAGACAAAGCUCUGGAUGAUUCCAGUCCCUGACAGUGGGUCACCCAACCUGGAAACUGACCUAGUUGAUGCUGGGGGUGCAGAGAUGGGCGGUCCCCACUGAACCAUGCCCAGAUGGAAGGGUCUGGAGCAAAGUACAGGACUUCUGUUGUGUUGAAGGCAGCGGUGGGGGGGGGGGGGGGUUGUUACCCAGCAGUCCGUGUGGGACCAUGAGCCUCUUUCACACUCCACCUCCACCCUCCUGGGGCUGGAUGCGGCAUUGUCUGACUUCCUCUAUGUCCAUGCCGCUUGUGACCUGGUCGGAGGGUCAUUUGGCAUUUGCGUUGGCCCAGAACUGCAGCUCGUUCUCGAAGCUGCUGCCCAGUACACCCCACCCUGUGUGUACGGUUUCCAGCUCCUGUUUGCCACCACGCUCAGCAUUGCCCAGGUUUGGAUUUUACCUGUAUAGUGCACGUGAAAUUCUACCUUGUUACUGUGUUAAUUUGCACUUCUUGAUUUUUAGAGUUUUGAACACUUUUGGUGCUAAUUAGCUUUUUAAAACUUUCUUUUGAAGGUGC